GGGUUUUUUAACUUGGGCUUACAGCGAAUUACUGCAGAUCCUGCCUUCACACGGCAGGGGUCACUGGUUCGAUCCCAGUACCGCCCACCA
rnacentral:tRNA from 1 species